rnacentral:rRNA from 1 species
GUGGGGAAUAUUGGACAAUGGGCGAAAGCCUGAUCCAGCAAUGCCGCGUGAGUGAUGAAGGCCUUAGGGUUGUAAAGCUCUUUUACCAGGGAUGAUAAUGACAGUACCUGGAGAAUAAGCUCCGGCUAACUCCGUGCCAGCAGCCGCGGUAAUACGGAGGGAGCUAGCGUUGUUCGGAAUUACUGGGCGUAAAGCGCGCGUAGGCGGUUUAUCAAGUCAGGGGUGAAAUCCCGGGGCUCAACCCCGGAACUGCCCUUGAAACUGGUUCACUAGAAUCCUGGAGAGGCGAGUGGAAUUCCGAGUGUAGAGGUGAAAUUCGUAGAUAUUCGGAGGAACACCAGUGGCGAAGGCGGCUCACUGGCUCGAUACUGACGCUGAGGUGCGAAAGCGUGGGGAGCAAACAGGAUUAGAUACCCCGGUAGUCC